GACAGAGGGUGCAAACGUUGUUCGGAAUUACUGGGCGUAAAGCGCGUGUAGGCUGCUUGGAAAGUCGGAUGUGAAAGCCCUGGGCUCAACCUAGGAAGUGCAUUCGAAACUUCCAAGCUCGAGUUUCGGAGAGGAAGGCGGAAUUCCCGGUGUAGAGGUGAAAUUCGUAGAUAUCGGGAGGAACACCAGUGGCGAAGGCGGCCUUCUGGACGAACACUGACGCUGAGACGCGAAAGCGUGGGUAGCAAACAGG
rnacentral:rRNA from 1 species